ACAAGUUCCACGGUGCACUUCGCGUCCAUCCCCCAUCUGCUCCCUCGUUCUACCUCGCGGCGGGGACGGGACGCACCGUGAUUCCCGGGAUGUCCCUCGGGGUGGCCGAGUCUCCCCUCCGGCCCCGCGGGUGAGGGCGCCGGGCGCGUUUCUCACAGGCCAGUGCCGGCCCCAGCGCAGGCGGGAGGGGCCGCGGGGCUUCCCUCGCUCAGCCCCUCGACGUGGGCCUUGGCCCCAGGCUGGCACCUGCGUUCGGGGAACUUGUUUUUAAUGGCAAAUAGGUUCAUCCUAUAUAUAUUCCAAUUAUAGGCCAGUGGCUACAGAAUUGUUAACUCAAACUGUAAUUACGGGCUGCUAAAUACCUCUUUUGCUGCUGUAGUACAGUAAAAGGGAAUGCCGUCUGGUAAUCCUGACACUUGUCAGAGGUAGCCUGUAACAUGUUGAUGGAUGAUGUGUCAGCCUCGGCCUGCGGAAGGCAGUGGGGGUUUUGCUGCUGACAGCGUUGGCUCCAGAAGUUUGUCUGUGCCUGUUCAUGUCAGAGCUACCAUGCUCCCACUGAGAGUGAGUUAGCGCUUCCAGAAAUGAUGACACAUAGUUGGCAUUUCAUUAAUGGCAUGAAUAAAAAGUCUCCAGUAUGCUUCACAAACAA